UAACCUGCCCAAGAGAUCGGGAUAACACCUGGAAACAGAUGCUAAUACCGGAUAACAACAGAUGAUGCCUAUCAACUGUUUAAAAGAUGGUUCUGCUAUCACUCUUGGAUGGACCUGCGGUGCAUUAGCUAGUUGGUAGGGUAACGGCCUACCAAGGCGAUGAUGCAUAGCCGAGUUGAGAGACUGAUGGCCACAUUGGGACUGAGACACGGCCCAAACUCCUACGGGAGGCAGCAGGC
rnacentral:rRNA from 1 species